rnacentral:rRNA from 1 species
UACGUAGGGUGCGAGCGUUGUCCGGAAUUAUUGGGCGUAAAGAGCUCGUAGGCGGUUUGUCGCGUCGGCCGUGAAAUCUCCACGCUUAACGUGGAGCGUGCGGUCGAUACGGGCAGACUUGAGUUCGGUAGGGGAGACUGGAAUUCCUGGUGUAGCGGUGAAAUGCGCAGAUAUCAGGAGGAACACCGGUGGCGAAGGCGGAUCUCUGGGCCUGUCCUGACGCUCAGGCGCGAAAGCUAGGGGAGCAAACAGG